UAUAUAUGUUGUUGUAUAGGGGUCCUGCAUUUCACAGACAGAUGUCUACACAUGUUGAUGACAUAUCAUUACAUGGUGGCAGACAUUGGAGGAAACUUGUCAGCAUAUGAGAGCCCUGUUUGAAAUGUUGCUUUUAAUGUCAUGUUCGAGAAUGGGUUGGCUUUGACUGUUGUUCAUUAGAAGCGGGUUCUUGUGUUUCACAGGAUCGAAUGACAGAAUUAUCUCAAGGUACUUUUCACAAGUGUUCACUCCGCUUUUGAGUUCACACACCAUAAGGACUGUCUAGACCUUGCAGUAUGCCCUGAUUAGUGAAGGUAACGAAAAUGAUUGGUUAUGUUCCACUGCAUUCUUAUUGUCGUACGACGUGUACGAGGUACAGUGUGCAACUUUGGGCAGAGAGCAGGGCCUGUAUCAUGUAGCGAUGCCUUCCGCUCAAUUCUAUGCUACUCGUAUUAUCCGUCGUUUAUGGUCUGCUGGUCCCAUUGAUAGCACGGGCGAAGCAUCAUUCUGACCUCUGACAAAAACCCCAAAAGCGCAAAGAAAAAUAGCUUUGAAAAAGGCAGCGCUACAAAAUCCCGGCCCAGCUUUCUACUGCCAUUGGCUCAAACGAUAGCAGACGACGCACAGCUUUUGUUAAAAGCAACAAAGUGUGAUCAUAAGUGUUACUGAAUCAUGGUAGUGCCAUGGCUGCACUUGUGAAGCAUUCCGUUAGCAAGCAAAUCUCGUCGGAGCUCUUGAGCAGCCUGCAUACACACCAGAACAGCAACUAGACAUCGUGUCUGCAAUCAUGCAUGUAGUCGCUUCGUUUCUUUUGACAGAAAUUGCACCACCCCUCUACUCCCCCUCACGAGAGAGUUGAUUCAAUCGCCCAAUCAGUUUUGUAGCCAGGGUUGCACCUCUGGUAGAGACCGAAUUCCUGUGCAGGACUUCAGACAGGCUUCGAAGAACCCAUCACGACAGUUCAGUGGCUACGGUGUUGCUACCGCUGAGUGCGAGGUCACAUCUUUCAAUCCUCGACCAUGGCAGCCGCGGUCCAGCGAGGGCAGAUUGCAAAAAAUGCCAAUUUGCCGAGAUUUCAGUGCAUGUUAUUGGAACCCGAGGUGACCAAAGUUAGACAAAAAGGCUCCAACUACCGUGCCCCCUCAUGUUCCAGUUCCAUAUUUUUGAUGCGAAAGCGUCAAAUGGCUCAUUGAGCGAAAAAGCCGGCGUCCGGCGUCUGUUGCAGCGAAACGGCGCCUAAAUUAUCUCUGUCCGCGACGCCACGUCACGAGUGUGCCUCGAUGGGGCAGAGCGCCAGGUGUGGCAUGAGAGGAAAGGGCAUAGCUGCGGUGCCGAAUCACCCUCGCUCUCGGAAGCCUGUGUUAUCCACGCAUUCCUUGUCCAUGCAUUCUAACUGCGCCUCGGUAAGGCCAAUUCAAAACGUGCCCAGCGUCUCAAUGCGGUCGCUUGUGUCCACGUGGAGUUCAAAACUCGGAAGGACUGCUCAGCGGCGUUCAAUUGGACAUUAAUGCUUUCGCAUUCACAACUCAUAAGAAGUGCCAAAGUGUGCCCGGAUUUUUCUAUACAAAACCCCAUAAAGAAAAAUACAUCAUUGUUGCAUAGCACACAUAAAUGUACCCAUAUGUUUCGUAUGGUCUUUCCUUUCUCAUUCUCUAAUAUACUUCUUUUUCACACGCAGUUUAGGCUGGAUUUCGAGUUAAGAACAAUUUUUCAACAUGCUCAGAAUUUAUGUCCAGAGAUUAUCAUUCCAGCUCUCAUCAUUCCACUGUAUAUACAUUUUAGAGGUCUUAGGAUUUGCAAAAAAAAAAAUGUAAUUUCCCACAAAGCCUGGAUACGAGUGCAGCAUGGAAAUCAGUGUUGCAAUAUUUAGUAUUUUUUGCAACCUACACGGUGAUUCUUACAGUUAGAAGCGCCACACCUCAAAGAGCAGAAGUUCUUAGCAGCCCUGUUAACUUUUGUGGUUGACUGCACCUUUCAUACAAUCCUCUCGCCCCCAGAGGGCCUUUUAUUGUUUCUUUUCGAUCGACAGCCCUGUUCAGAAUAUCGUCUCUAACAUUCGUUUAUACUACAUUAUUUCCACUUCCGAUUACGGACAGCAUGGUCCGUAAUCAGUGUUGCCAAGAACUUUGCAACUAUCCUAUAUUCCGUUGUAUACUUAGCAGGCAACGCUGCGGAUGCUACGCAGGCAGUGCGGUCAUAAAGUCUCACUCCGUGCGUUCCGCAGUGCAGUUGCUCUUGAUCUGUGACGCUUUCUGCGGACUAACUACUUCAUAUAUUACAAAUACAACUUCUGGACGUAAGGUUUACGACAGGUUACCACUUUUGCACUUCCAGUGUGCGACGUACUAUGUUUUGAUCGUAAGCGCAAGCGGUGCUCUGAGGCCACUAGUCACAGAAACGUAUCACUCCGCUCAGUUGUAGUGAAUAGGUCAAGAUCUGCGAGGCCUUCUACCUAAUAAAUGUGAUAUUUUGAGACAUGAGAGCAUGAGGCUUAAUGUUACGUCGAAAAACAUGACGCUUAUCUGUAUCGAUGUGAGUGGUGAGAAAAGUCUCUCUAGCUUUCGUAGUGUUGACCGAUAUGUAUGAAACGGAGUAUAACUAAGUGCAAGAAUUCAACCGCUCGCCGUUUCCCAGGUGAGUGAAGCAUAGAUUUGUGGCAUUGCAAAAGCGGCAUUGCCAUUGUGAAACCUCGAAGGCAUUACACUUGAAGGCCCCUUUAUAAUUUCUUUAUUAUUACUCACUGAAACAAUCUCUGUGCACAUCGGGAGCCCAAGAAAGGUGUUGUUAUUGCAGCAGAAAAAAAAAACUGUGCUGUUUCUUGUACAAAUUAUACCAUCGCUGUUUCCGAGAAACCCGAGUUGUGUGCGCGUGUGUGUGUGUUUGCAUUUUAAGCACUGUUGAAAGCACUGUAUACUUUGCAGUUUGUUUUUGUCGUUAGCCUCUUCGCCAUUUCUCGCGCAAGCAAGUACACGAACUGCUUCCAAAUAUCAGGUGUUGCAUCGUUGAUGGAAGCGCACACAAACAUAUUUCCUGCCAAAACCGCUGGCUUGUUGGUGCUCAAAGUCCCGUAGAAGAAGUUGAAAGCAUACAAUGCUCUUAUUCAAAAGAAAGAAAAGCUAAAACAGACGACGGUUCCCUUCACACAUGACAGCCUUGACCAACAGUCUGCGCAAGGCUUAGGAGCUAAAAGCAGCAGCCCUCGUUGUUUGAGGCCAACUACAACGGAAUUUUGCACUGCAUAAAAUGUCCAGUUUCAAAUAGUGUGGAUAAGAGCAGCCUCUGUGCAAAACCUUGUUGGAAAUACAAGUGGAUGUGUCACAAGAUGCUCACAACGAGAGGCGUUUUUGAUAUGCCAAAGCUGGAAGAAAAAAAAAAACACUGCCGUUAACACUUGCCGGAAAUGACUUGGCAACGUUGAGAACCAGCAAGGCUUCCCGGCACGACCUCCGAGAUAUGGCAGUGUGGCGGAAAUCAUGGAGGCAAUUGAUGUUCAGAAAUUCGCGUCAUAUCCGCUGACCUCCAAGUGCACUCGUCGUCUGCUUGGGUGUCAUUGAAAGGCUGUUUACCAGCCCUACAGCCUUACCAAGAGUGGUUUAAUAGUAUGAACUACUCAUUUAUAACCAAUUUAGCUAAACUGAAAUUUCAUUGCAGCUGGCUUUUAACGACUUGAAACAAUGUAGAAACAGUGGUAGCAUGGCUCCUUGUUAUCAUAUGCGUUACUCUACUUCAGUAGUACUCCCAUAAUGCUCAAGUGAUGCACUGGUGCAGUGCUGUUCUUAUUGUUACCCUCACACUGUUGCUGUUUUCGUCUCCAAAUCAUUUUGCAUCUCGAGGACCAACGUUGCAAGAAUUCUAGAGUCUGCAUUGGCGUGAGCCAAAACCACGUGUGUACAUUUGCGGUUUAAUGUUGCUGACCAGGCCUGACAUACCAUCAUGGUCCGUAGCCUAUACAGUGGACUGUCCGCCAUUGUCCUAACCCAAGCACCAGCUUCGCUGAAUUUUUUUUUUCCCCCUGGAACAUUUUCCAGUGCCAGAUCUAUCUAAUGGCUGGUGUAUCUGUGUCACCCGUUUCCUUUUCUUCUGCGUAAGUAAGUGUACCGUAAGCGGGCAUUAAUGUAAGUUAAAUAAGUGUCAUGUUUACGAAAAUGUUUGGUGCUGUGUUGUUCAUACGUAUAACGAUGUCCCCUACACUAUGGAUCUCCUGUGUUCUGGGAAUUAGCCAUGUCGCAGUAAUUUGCACUACAUAGUCGGCGCAAUGUGUGUCUUCUGCACAAACUUAAACCCAGUCGUCUGUCUCUCCACAAGCGAUGAAGUGUCCAUUAUGUUGCUAGAGGGGCAGACACAAAAGGCAACUCUAAAUCAAGCUAAUAUACAAGACUCUUGUUUUAAACUGUCCAAAUCAUUAUUUACUGAGAACAGAGCUUUUGUAUAUGAGAAAAAUCGUAAGCAGGACAAGACUGGAACAACACUGAAAAUACAAAGCCUUCUGCCAAUAACAUUGUAUGUCCUGUUUAUAACCGAUAAAUAGCAGUCAAGCACUGAUGAUAAUGCUGAUGAAAUUGCAGUUAGCACACGAACAAAAUGUAGUUUGGCCAAAUUCAUUAGCACGUCUUACAGAAGAAUUUGCCAGAUCCACCUGCCUCAUUCUGUUCUAGUGGCACUAUGUGAGGGCGUGUGGCGCCCUCUAUGUGUGCGCAUCUGACUCGAGCAAGAAUACUAAUGCCUGGCAAAGCAUGACCACCGAGGUCACUGGCACGACAUGAUUGGUACAGUGUCAACAUGUGAAUUGCAGUGUGUUUGGUACUGUGGCGCCCUCUGUGCGUGGACAGGCAUGGUAGUGCCUGGCAGAGCAUGACCUCCGAGAUUGCUUGUAGAGCGCAGGUUAUGUACACUGCGUCAGCGUGUGGAUGACACAUUGCCAACCAGUGAAACAACUGCUGCAGUAUUGGUCUACAAGUUGGAGCAACGGGCAGUCUGUUUUCGCUCACAUUUUUCUUGGUGUCUAAGCCAUCUCCCGGUCUUUGGUGUUCCCUCAAGUGGAGAAGAGCUGUAUGAAACCCAAGCCACGAAACAAAAUGUCUCAAGAAUUCAUGUUCUUGCAUAUUACACGAACUUUGCACUGGAUGUGGUUGUGACCGUUUCUAAUCUUCCAAACCUCUCUGUAAGUUGUUUGCGAGCCCAGUGCUAAGUACAUCUCCACGUCAAAAGUUUAGUGCAAAAUGUUUUCGUGCAGCUAACAAUUUCUGUGCAUCACCAGUAAAAUUGUGCCAACACAGCUAAUAAAAAUGGUUCAGCUAGUUUAAA
rnacentral:lncRNA from 1 species